AGUCACUGACAUUAGAUACCCCGGUAGUCCCAGCCGUAAACUAUGCGCGUUAGGUGUACUGGUGACCACGAGUCACCGGGGUGCCGAAGGGAAACCGUGAAACGUGCCGCCUGGGAAGUACGGUCGCAAGGCUGAAACUUAAAGGAAUUGGCGGGGGAGCACCGCAACGGGAGGAGCGUGCGGUUUAAUUGGAUUCAACACCGUAAAACUCACCAGGGAAGACUGUUACAUGAAAGCCGAGUUGAAGACUCUGCUAGAUUUUCAG
rnacentral:rRNA from 1 species